GACGAACGCUGGCGGCGUGCUUAACACAUGCAAGUCGAACGGAAAGGCCCUGCUUUUGUGGGGUGCUCGAGUGGCGAACGGGUGAGUAACACGUGAGUAACCUGCCCUUGACUUUGGGAUAACUUCAGGAAACUGGGGCUAAUACCGGAUAGGAGCUCCUGCUGCAUGGUGGGGGUUGGAAAGUUUCGGCGGUUGGGGAUGGACUCGCGGCUUAUCAGCUUGUUGGUGGGGUAGUGGCUUACCAAGGCUUUGACGGGUAGCCGGCCUGAGAGGGUGACCGGCCACAUUGGGACUGAGAUACGGCCCAGACUCCUACGGGAGGCAGCAGUGGGGAAUAUUGCACAAUGGGCGGAAGCCUGAGGCAGCAACGCCGCGUGCGGGAUGACGGCCUUCGGGUUGUAAGCCGCUUUCGCCUGUGACGAAGCGUGAGUGACGGUAAUGGGUAAAGAAGCACCGGCUAACUACGU
rnacentral:rRNA from 1 species